GUUUCCAUUGACUAGGCGGACCUGCCCCUCACCUCCUGGGCUUGUUGUGGUAGUGCUGUUGACCUGAUUGGCAGCAGAGGUCUGUGGUCUUGGAUCAGGUGUAGUUGUAGAAACUCCAGUGGCUGUUGUGUUCACCUCUGUUUACAAUGAAAAACAGUGAGGUCCUGCUGCUAAGCCAAUUGUAUUUGUUCAUAAAUUGUUUGUCUGAUUUAAGAACAAGAUAAAAAUAGUUACUUCACCAGCCUAAAACACGUAAAUGAAUGGGUUAGAGGAGAAAGUUGAAUUUGUUGCUACAGUGUUAAAUAUGUUUUAAAUGGAGUUAUACCUGCACAGUAUGCAAGAUGACAUACUGAUGGCUGCACAAGUUUGUAGACGUAGAAGUUUCCAUAACAGAGCUUGACAUGGAUGAUGUGUGAGGAAAAAUAGCA